rnacentral:rRNA from 1 species
AGCGACAGGCUUAACACAUGCAAGGUCAGGGGUAACAGGGUAGCAAUACCGCUGACGACCGGCGCACGGGUGAGUAACGCGUAUGCAACCUGCCUAUAACUGGGGAAUAGCUCCCUGAAAGGGGAAUUAACACCGCAUAAUACUAUUGAUUCGCAUGGAUUAGUAGUUAAAUGUAGCGAUACAGGUUAUAGAUGGGCAUGCGUGACAUUAGCUAGUUGGUGAGGUAACGGCUCACCAAGGCUACGAUGUCUAGGGGUUCUGAGAGGAAGGUCCCCCCACACUGGUACUGAGACACGGACCAGACUCCUACGGGAGGCAGCAGUGAGGAAUAUUGGUCAAUGGGCGCAAGCCUGAACCAGCCAUGUCGCGUGCAGGAAGAACCUGCCCUAUGGGUUGUAAACUGCUUUUAUAGUAGAAGAAACACAUCUACGUGUAGAUGUCUGCCAGUAUACUAUGAAUAAGCAUCGGCUAACUCCGUGCCAGCCGCCGC